rnacentral:snRNA from 1 species
GGAUGUGAAGGCCAUCUGGCUGGGACAUCUGUCACCCCAUCGAUCUCCAGGGUUGAUUUGGCUGAUCUGGCUAACUAGGGAGGUGUCUCCUUGCUCUCUCACUGCUCCAUGUGCAUUCCCCCUGAAGCUGCAUGCUAGGUUGAAGGGGACGACCAUCCCUGAUAGAGGAGGACCGGUCUUCAAGGGUAUAUGAGUAGCUGCACUCCCCUGCUAGAACCUCCAAACAAGCUCUCAAGAAAAUAUUAAAAGGAAAUACUAAAAAAAAUCCAAAUAAUUGAAUCUUGAGUGUCUGGUU